CCCCUGGUGUCUGUGUCCGCAUGUCUCCCAGUGUCCUCAUGUCACCAGAGGACACAGAGACAUGGGGACACUGGGAGACAUGUGGACACUGGGAGAUGUGGGGACACA